rnacentral:rRNA from 1 species
UACGUAGGGCGCAAGCGUUGUCCGGAAUUAUUGGGCGUAAAGAGCUCGUAGGCGGUUUGUCGCGUCUGCUGUGAAAACCUAAGGCUCAACCUUGGGCUUGCAGUGGGUACGGGCAGACUAGAGUGCGGUAGGGGUGACUGGAAUUCCUGGUGUAGCGGUGGAAUGCGCAGAUAUCAGGAGGAACACCGAUGGCGAAGGCAGGUCA